CGCAAUGGGCGAAAGCCUGACGGAGCAACGCCGCGUGAGUGAAGAAGGUCUUCGGAUCGUAAAACUCUGUUAUUAGGGAAGAACAAAUGUGUAAGUAACUAUGCACGUCUUGACGGUACCUAAUCAGAAAGCCACGGCUAACUACGUGCCAGCAGCCGCGGUAACACGUAGGUGGCAAGCGUUAUCCGGAAUUAUUGGGCGUAAAGCGCGCGUAGGCGGUUUUUUAAGCCUGAUGUGAAAGCCCACGGCUCAACCGUGGAGGGUCAUUGGAAACUGGAAAACUUGAGUGCAGAAGAGGAAAGUGGAAUUCCAUGUGUAGCGGUGAAAUGCGCAGAGAUAUGGAGGAACACCAGUGGCGAAGGCGACUUUCUGGUCUGUAACUGACGCUGAUGUGCG
rnacentral:rRNA from 1 species